UUGGGAGCUCUCCCAUAUGGUCGACCUGCAGGCGGCCGCGAAUUCACUAGUGAUUCGUAUUACCGCGGCUGCUGGCACGAAGUUAGCCGGGGCUUCUUCUCCGGGUACCGUCAUUAUCGUCCCCGGUGAAAGGAUUUUACAAUCCUAAGACCUUCAUCAUCCACGCGGCAUGGCUGCGUCAGGCUUUCGCCCAUUGCGCAAGAUUCCCCACUGCUGCCUCCCGUAGGAGUCUGGGCCGUGUCUCAGUCCCAGUGUGGCUGGCCAUCCUCUCAGACCAGCUACUGAUCGUCGCCUUGGUGAGCCAUUACCUCACCAACUAGCUAAUCAGACGCGGGCCGCUCCAAAGGCGAUAAAUCUUUCCCCCGAAGGGCUCAUCCGGUAUUAGCACAAGUUCCCCUGUGUUGUUCCGAACCAGAAGGCACGUUCCCACGUGUUACUCACCCGUCCGCCACUAUCCCGAAGGACCGUUCGACUUGCAUGUGUUAAGCCUGCCGCCAGCGUUCGCUCUGAGCCAGGAUCAAACUCUAAUCGAAUUC
rnacentral:rRNA from 1 species